AGUGAACGCUGGCGGUAGGCCUAACACAUGCAAGUCGAACGGCAGCACAGUAAGAGCUUGCUCUUACGGUUGGCGAGUGGCGGACGGGUGAGGAAUACAUCGGAAUCUACUUUUUCGUGGGGGAUAACGUAGGGAAACUUACGCUAAUACCGCAUACUACCUACGGGUGAAAGCAGGGGAUCUUCGGACCUUGCGCGAUUGAAUGAGCCGAUGUCGGAUUAGCUAGUUGGCGGGGUAAAGGCCCACCAAGGCGACGAUCCGUAGCUGGUCUGAGAGGAUGAUCAGCCACACUGGAACUGAGACACGGUCCAGACUCCUACGGGAGGCAGCAGUGGGAAAUAUUGGACAAUGGGCGCAAGCCUGAUCCAGCCAUACCGCGUGGGUGAAGAAGGCCUUCGGGUUGUAAAGCCCUUUUGUUGGGAAAGAAAAGCAGCAGGUUAAUACCCCGCUGUUCUGACGGUACCCAAAGAAUAAGCACCGGCUAACUUCGUG
rnacentral:rRNA from 1 species